GUAUGCGCGCAGCCUGAUCCAGCCAUGCCGCGUGCGGGAAGAAGGCCUUCGGGUUGUAAACCGCUUUUGUCAGGGAAGAAAAGGUUCUGGCUAAUACCUGGGACUCAUGACGGUACCUGAAGAAUAAGCACCGGCUAACUACGUGCCAGCAGCCGCGGUAAUACGUAGGGUGCAAGCGUUAAUCGGAAUUACUGGGCGUAAAGCGUGCGCAGGCGGUUAUGCAAGACAGAGGUGAAAUCCCCGGGCUCAACCUGGGAACUGCCUUUGUGACUGCAUGGCUAGAGUACGGUAGAGGGGGAUGGAAUUCCGCGUGUAGCAGUGAAAUGCGUAGAUAUGCGGAGGAACACCGAUGGCGAAGGCAAUCCCCUGGACCUGUACUGACGCUCAUGCACGAAAGCGUGGGGAGCAAACAGGAUUAGAUACCCUGGUAGUCCACGCCCUAAACGAUGUCAACUGGUUGUUGGGAGGGUUUCUUCUCAGUAACGUAGCUAACGCGUGAAGUUGACCGCCUGGGGAGUACGGCCGCAAGGUUGAAACUCAAAGAAAUUUUGACGGA
rnacentral:rRNA from 1 species